rnacentral:rRNA from 1 species
CCUACGGGAGGCAGCAGUAGGGAAUCUUCCACAAUGGACGAAAGUCUGAUGGAGCAACGCCGCGUGAGUGAAGAAGGGUUUCGGCUCGUAAAGCUCUGUUGGUAGUGAAGAAAGAUAGAGGUAGUAACUGGCCUUUAUUUGACGGUAAUUACUUAGAAAGUCACGGCUAACUACGUGCCAGCAGCCGCGGUAAUACGUAGGUGGCAAGCGUUGUCCGGAUUUAUUGGGCGUAAAGCGAGUGCAGGCGGUUCAAUAAGUCAGAUGUGAAAGCCUUCGGCUCAACCGGAGAAUUGCAUCAGAAACUGGUGAGCUUGAGUGUCGAAGAGGAGGGUAGAACUCCAGGUGUAGCGGUGGAAUGCGUAGAGAUAUGGAAGAACACCAGUGGCGAAGGCGGCCCCCUGGUCUAAAACUGACGCUGAGGUUCGAAAGCAUGGGGAGCAAACAGGAUUAGAUACCCUUGUAGUC